AGUGAGCUCUCCCGGCCAGUCUCCUAGGGUCUAAGACAGGGAGUGACUAAGUUUUCAAGGGGAGGCGGCAAGUUAACAAGCCAGUUUCUUUCACCAAUCCUGUGAGCUAGCUCCAUUCUUUCUUCCAGUGUAGAACUAGAACCAGCCUAUAACCUAUUCAUCUUACGAACAUAUUCCCGCUCCAUUUUUUCUUAAGAAAUAAGAAAGAAAAGAAGCAAGCAUAUGAAUCUAUAUAUAGUAAAAAAAAAAGACUGAAAAUAAGGUACUAUCUAGUGAGCAAGCCUGUUCAAGUUGUAGUUCCUCCAG
rnacentral:lncRNA from 1 species